rnacentral:rRNA from 1 species
ACCGACUAAUGUUGAAAAAUUAGCGGAUGACUUGUGGCUGGGGGUGAAAGGCCAAUCAAACCGGGAGAUAGCUGGUUCUCCCCGAAAGCUAUUUAGGUAGCGCCUCGUGAAUUCAUCUCCGGGGGUAGAGCACUGUUUCGGCAAGGGGGUCAUCCCGACUUACCAACCCGAUGCAAACUGCGAAUACCGGAGAAUGUUAUCACGGGAGACACACGGCGGGUGCUAACGUCCGUCGUGAAGAGGGAAACAACCCAGACCGCCAGCUAAGGUCCCAAAGUCAUGGUUAAGUGGGAAACGAUGUGGGAAGGCCCAGACAGCCAGGAUGUUGGCUUAGAAGCAGCCAUCAUUUAAAGAAAGCGUAAUAGCUCACUGGUCGAGUCGGCCUGCGCGGAAGAUGUAACGGGGCUAAACCAUGCACCGAAGCUGCGGCAGCGACGCUGAUGCGUUGUUGGGUAGGGGAGCGUUCUGUAAGCCUGUGAAGGUGUGCUGUGAGGCAUGCUGGAGGUAUCAGAAGUGCGAAUGCUGACAUAAGUAACGAUAAAGCGGGUGAAAAGCCCGCUCGCCGGAAGACCAAGGGUUCCUGUCCAACGUUAAUCGGGGCAGGGUGAGUCGACCCCUAAGGCGAGGCCGAAAGGCGUAGUCGAUGGGAAACAGGUUAAUAUUCCUGUACUUGGUGUUACUGCGAAGGGGGGACGGAGAAGGCUAUGUUGGCCGGGCGACGGUUGUCCCGGUUUAAGCGUGUAGGCUGGUUUUCCAGGCAAAUCCGGAAAACUAAGGCUGAGGCGUGAUGACGAGGCACUACGGUGCUGAAGCAACAAAUGCCCUGCUUCCAGGAAAAGCCUCUAAGCAUCAGGUAACAUCAAAUCGUACCCCAAACCGACACAGGUGGUCAGGUAGAGAAUACCAAGGCGCUUGAGAGAACUCGGGUGAAGGAACUAGGCAAAAUGGUGCCGUAACUUCGGGAGAAGGCACGCUGAUAUGUAGGUGAAGUCCCUCGCGGAUGGAGCUGAAAUCAGUCGAAGAUACCAGCUGGCUGCAACUGUUUAUUAAAAACACAGCACUGUGCAAACACGAAAGUGGACGUAUACGGUGUGACGCCUGCCCGGUGCCGGAAGGUUAAUUGAUGGGGUCAGCGCAAGCGAAGCUCUUGAUCGAAGCCCCGGUAAACGGCGGCCGUAACUAUAACGGUCCUAAGGUAGCGAAAUUCCUUGUCGGGUAAGUUCCGACCUGCACGAAUGGCGUAAUGAUGGCCAGGCUGUCUCCACCCGAGACUCAGUGAAAUUGAACUCGCUGUGAAGAUGCAGUGUACCCGCGGCAAGACGGAAAGACCCCGUGAACCUUUACUAUAGCUUGACACUGAACAUUGAGCCUUGAUGUGUAGGAUAGGUGGGAGGCUUUGAAGUGUGGACGCCAGUCUGCAUGGAGCCGACCUUGAAAUACCACCCUUUAAUGUUUGAUGUUCUAACGUUGACCCGUAAUCCGGGUUGCGGACAGUGUCUGGUGGGUAGUUUGACUGGGGCGGUCUCCUCCUAAAGAGUAACGGAGGAGCACGAAGGUUGGCUAAUCCUGGUCGGACAUCAGGAGGUUAGUGCAAUGGCAUAAGCCAGCUUGACUGCGAGCGUGACGGCGCGAGCAGGUGCGAAAGCAGGUCAUAGUGAUCCGGUGGUUCUGAAUGGAAGGGCCAUCGCUCAACGGAUAAAAGGUACUCCGGGGAUAACAGGCUGAUACCGCCCAAGAGUUCAUAUCGACGGCGGUGUUUGGCACCUCGAUGUCGGCUCAUCACAUCCUGGGGCUGAAGUAGGUCCCAAGGGUAUGGCUGUUCGCCAUUUAAAGUGGUACGCGAGCUGGGUUUAGAACGUCGUGAGACAGUUCGGUCCCUAUCUGCCGUGGGCGCUGGAGAACUGAGGGGGGCUGCUCCUAGUACGAGAGGACCGGAGUGGACGCAUCACUGGUGUUCGGGUUGUCAUGCCAAUGGCACUGCCCGGUAGCUAAAUGCGGAAGAGAUAAGUGCUGAAAGCAUCUAAGCACGAAACUUGCCCCGAGAUGAGUUCUCCCUGACUCCUUGAGAGUCCUGAAGGAACGUUGAAG